rnacentral:rRNA from 1 species
AUACGUAGGGUGCAAGCGUUAAUCGGAAUUACUGGGCGUAAAGCGUGCGCAGGCGGUUUUGUAAGACAGUGGUGAAAUCCCCGGGCUCAACCUGGGAACUGCCAUUGUGACUGCAAGGCUGGAGUGCGGCAGAGGGGGAUGGAAUUCCGCGUGUAGCAGUGAAAUGCGUAGAUAUGCGGAGGAACACCGAUGGCGAAGGCAAUCCCCGGGGCCUGCACUGACGCUCAUGCACGAAAGCGUGGGGAGCAAACAGGAUUAGAUACCCUGGUAGUCCACGCCCUAAACGAUGUCAACUGGUUGUUGGGGAUUUAGUUUCUCAGUAACGAAGCUAACGCGUGAAGUUGACCGCCUGGGGAGUACGGCCGCAAGGUUAAAACUCAAAUGAAUUGACGGGG